rnacentral:rRNA from 1 species
ACGAACGCUGGCGGCGUGCCUAAUACAUGCAAGUUGAGCGCUGAAGGUUGGUACUUGUACCAACUGGAUGAGCAGCGAACGGGUGAGUAACGCGUGGGGAAUCUGCCUUUGAGCGGGGGACAACAUUUGGAAACGAAUGCUAAUACCGCAUAAAAACUUUAAACACAAGUUUUAAGUUUGAAAGAUGCAAUUGCAUCACUCAAAGAUGAUCCCGCGUUGUAUUAGCUAGUUGGUGAGGUAAAGGCCCACCAAGGCGAUGAUACAUAGCCGACCUGAGAGGGUGAUCGGCCACAUUGGGACUGAGACACGGCCCAAACUCCUACGGGAGGCAGCAGUAGGGAAUCUUCGGCAAUGGACGAAAGUCUGACCGAGCAACGCCGCGUGAGUGAAGAAGGUUUUCGGAUCGUAAAACUCUGUUGGUAGAGAAGAACGUUGGUGAGAGUGGAAAGCUCAUCAAGUGACGGUAACUACCCAGAAAGGGACGGCUAACUACGUG